rnacentral:rRNA from 1 species
AGAAUCAACGCUGGCGGCGUGCCUAACACAUGCAAGUCGCACGAGAAAGGGGAGCAAUCCCUGAGUACAGUGGCGCACGGGUGAGUAACACGUGAAUCAUCUACCUCCGAGUGGGGAAUAACUGAGAGAAAUCUUAGCUAAUACCGCAUAACACUUACGAGUCAAAGCAGCAAUGCGCUUGGAGAGGAGUUCGCGGCAGAUUAGUUAGUUGGCGGGGUAAUGGCCCACCAAGACGAUGAUCUGUAUCCGGCCUGAGAGGGCGCACGGACACACUGGAACUGAAACACGGUCCAGACUCCUACGGGAGGCAGCAGUGGGGAAUUUUGCGCAAUGGGGGAAACCCUGACGCAGCAACGUCGCGUGGAGGAUGAAGCCCCUUGGGGUGUAAACUCCUUUCGAUCGGGAAGAUAAUGACGGUACCGAUAUAAGAAGCCCCGGCUAACUUCGUGCCAGCAGCCGCGGUAA